GCAGACAGACAGUUUAUUUUUAAAGCAAUUGUUUUUUUGUAUUUAUACUUGUAUUUGGAGGGGUCCCCGAACCCCAUGUUUGUGCACCCCUAAAUCCGGCAGCAGCUUUAACAAUUCCCCCACCCCCCUCCCUCUCAUAAUAUGGAAGCAACACGCGUUGACGUGUUGCGCUGCGCUUCCGACCGCUGGUGUCGGCAUGCGUCCUGUGCGCACACACACAUACACACAACACACACACACACACAUAACACACACAGAUACGCACAUACACAUCACUCUCGUGGGGACAUGCGGCCAAGCAGACGCAGUCACGGACUGAAGAUUGACUCUGCAGGAGAGGAGAUGGAGAACUUCUGCAGCAUCCGUCCACCUUCGGCCAUUUUGAGUUGGAGAAAACCUUUUAGACACUGAAAAGCAGAGGAGAUAAAGAGGAGGAAGACAGCUCAUUAUCAAAAUGCAUUUCUGGGUCAAAAUCGUGUUUAUAAAGGUUCAUUUUUUUUCCCUGUGUAGACCAACUUAAACAUCAUUAGCCAGCUGAGGUGCAGUUUUAUUUUUUACUGUGACCACCAGGGGGCGCUGCUCCCCACUCACUGAACAUGCUGAAAUUAGAACAAAAUGCAAUUCAUGAGGUGUAACUGAUAACAUUUUUUGUGCAGAUUAUGCCACUCUGGGCAGAGAGCCAUUGUCUCCUUAUUAAAAACACUAAUUGAUGAGUUCUCCAUUUGUUAAAAAUGAAAUUGGAAGAAUGAGGACAUACUCCAGAGAAUUUUAUUCGUAAACGUGUAAUGUUUUCUUUUUUUAAAUUGGUUAAAAACUUACCAAAUCCUCCAUACUGAUGCUAAAAAAGCGCAUGGCAGUUUUCUUGGGCGAAAAAAAAUCCUGAGAAUUCUGGUGUGGUUGCUUUGCAAAAAUUCAGCAAGCAUAGCGCUACAGAUGCAUAAAGUCAGGUUGCUUUAACAAGUCGAGAACAAUAUCCUCAUCCGGGGUUGUUGCAGGAAGUGUGAAAUCAGAUCUGUAUCACUAACUUGGAAAAAGCGACACCAGUAAAUAACUUUUUCAUGCGUGUUGCUGAGGGAGGAAAUUGCCAGGACAUAUGUAGGUGAAGGUGCAAGUAGGAAAUAGGUGUCUGGUUGUGUUUAAAACAAAAAAAAAAAAAAUCUGUAUUAACUUUUGCGAUUGUGUUUCUGUAAGGAAAAAAAAAAAAAACUGGCAGAAAUUGUUUUUGUAUCAUUACGAGCUGCACACACCCUUCUCGGCAGAUUUACAUCAGCUUGAGGUCGUUUCCCUGCUCAUUAAAAUCUCCCCCGCCUGGAAAGAGGCGCCCAAUCAGAGCGGCGGAGGAGCCAGCGGGUGCCCAGCGUUUGCUCAGUAGUCAGUGUAGAUCCUGUGGGGCUGGCAGCAGCUACAUCUGGCUACUGGGUCUCUGCUGACGACCAAUCCGGUCCCAGAAUUCAGGACUGUCGCAGAUGUUUGGUUUCUCCUCACUUGGGACUAGUUCUGGACCUGGCAUACAGUGUAGGAUCCUGUGUGUGUCCGUCUACAGCUACAUUGUCUGCUGGGUUUCAGGCCUGUCUACUUUAAAGUCACCUUUCAGAGGAAUAAGUAAAAAAAAAAAAAAACAU